rnacentral:rRNA from 1 species
CAAUAGCGUAUAUUAAAGUUGUUGCGGUUAAAAAGCUCGUAGUUGGAUUUCUGGCCGAGUGUCCGCCAGCAUGACGUUUGGUCCUGGGCGCUCUGCCAUCCUUCUGUCAACCUUCGCCUCGUUCAUUCGUGGCUUUGGGCUCGAGAUAUUUUAUCCCUUGAGAAAAUUAGAGUGUUUCAGGCAGGCUUUCGCCGGAAUACAUUAGCAUGGAAUAAUGGAAAAGGACUUCAACCUCUUCUGUUGGUCUGAGAGGCUGUAGUAAUGAUUAAUAGGGAUAGUUGGGGGCAUUAGUACUUAACUGUCAGAGGUGAAAUUCUCCGAUUUGUUAAAGACUAACUUAUGCGAAAGCAUUUGCCAAGGAUGUUUUUCAUUAAUCAAGAACGAAAGUUAGGGGAUCAAAGACGAUCAGAU